UGCUGACAGAUUCUGAUGCUAUAUUUCAUUUUUACUUGGAAGGAAAUCAUAACUAAUACAUUUAAUAUAUCGAGGAUAGUUUCGUGUGAAAUUGUUUAUAGAACUUGGUUUUUUUUUAGUAUGCGUAAGAUUUAGAAGUUUUUUUUUUGUGAAAUUACACUACACGCCACAAAUCAAUGUGCGUAACCGCAUAAGUUCGUACCGAGAAUUAUUAGUAUUUUGGGAUCAACUUCAAUAGAGUCAUAAAUAUCUUCACUCAUUCACAAUCUACAGAUUAAAAAAAAUAAUUAGGUAUUUAUUAGAAUACGCUCGCGAUCAUCAAAGGACGCUGCGCCUUAGUUAUAAAUAAAUAGCUUUAGUUUGUUGAAAGUUAAAAAUAUUUUAGUGUUGUUUUGUAAUUCUAAAUUUGUAAUUCGGUGUGUGUUAAAAACGUACUUAAAACGAUAUGAAUUUGUCAUCGAAACACGAAAAAUAUUAAAAUCUUCGGAAAAUCAUAUUAGCUAGCUGCCUAACCAAAUCUGAUGAAUCAACGUCGGUCGACCCCAACGCCGACGUGGAAGCCACGAUGUGAACGAUUCUCAAAGGACGCCAAUGACGUGGAAAAAGAUUAAAUUGACAACAAACCAUUGUCUAUAUAUGUAUAUAUAUAAAUGAAUUGCUGUUCGUUAGUCACGCUAAAACUCGAGAACAGCUGGACCGAUUUGGCUAAUUUUUAUUUUGAAUUACUUGUGGAAGUCCAGAGAAGAUUUAAAAGGUAGAUAAAUUAAUGAAAAUGUUCGGAAUUAAAUAAUAAUAAUAACAA